UCAAUCUUUGGAGAUUUAAAGUGUUCACUCAGAUGCACAGAGACAUGGCAGUGCUUCAGCUCAAAUCAGCUCCUAUCCUCUCUGGAGAUCCUGCUGUCCUUGAGAUGGAGAAACUAAGUCCCAGAGAGGGAUAGUGAAUGCACAGCUGAACUAGCAGAAGAAACAGGCACCCAAUCUAGGCAGGAAAAACGUCUCCAAAGGUGGUCUUCUUGGAAAGUUUCACUAAAAGCCCUGCAGACAAUAUACACGAUGACAACAACAAUGCAAAUGGAAAAGACAACAGCC